AACACAUGCAAGUCGAACGAUGAAGCCCUUCGGGGUGGAUUAGUGGCGAACGGGUGAGUAACACGUGGGCAACCUGCCCUCCACUCUGGGAUAACUCCGGGAAACCGGGGCUAAUACUGGAUAUGACUUCCGGCCGCAUGGCUGGGGGUGGAAAGUUUUUCGGUGGAGGAUGGGCCCGCGGCCUAUCAGCUUGUUGGUGGGGUGAUGGCCUACCAAGGCGGUGACGGGUAGCCGGCCUGAGAGGGCGACCGGCCACACUGGGACUGAGACACGGCCCAGACUCCUGCGGGAGGCAGCAGUGGGGAAUAUUGCACAAUGGGCGGAAGCCUGAUGCAGCGACGCCGCGUGAGGGAUGACGGCCUUCGGGUUGUAAACCUCUUUCAGCAGGGACCAAGCGUGAGUGAGUGUACCUGCAGAAGAAGCACCGGCUAACUACGUGCCAGCAGCCGCGGUAAUACGUAGGGUGCGAGCGUUGUCCGGAUUUAUUGGGCGUAAAGGGCUCGUAGGCGGCCUGUCGCGUCG
rnacentral:rRNA from 1 species